rnacentral:rRNA from 2 species
GCGUUAAGUUGCAGGGUAUAGACCCGAAACCCGGUGAUCUAGCCAUGGGCAGGUUGAAGGUUGGGUAACACUAACUGGAGGACCGAACCGACUAAUGUUGAAAAAUUAGCGGAUGACCUGUGGCUGGGGGUGAAAGGCCAAUCAAACCGGGAGAUAGCUGGUUCUCCCCGAAAGCUAUUUAGGUAGCGCCUCGUGAAUUCAUCUCCGGGGGUAGAGCACUGUUUCGGCUAGGGGGCCAUCCCGGCUUACCAACCCGAUGCAAACUGCGAAUACCGGAGAAUGUUAUCACGGGAGACACACGGCGGGUGCUAACGUCCGUCGUGAAGAGGGAAACAACCCAGACCGCCAGCUAAGGUCCCAAAGUCAUGGUUAAGUGGGAAACGAUGUGGGAAGGCCCAGACAGCCAGGAUGUUGGCUUAGAAGCAGCCAUCAUUUAAAGAAAGCGUAAUAGCUCACUGGUCGAGUCGGCCUGCGCGGAAGAUGUAACGGGGCUAAACCAUGCACCGAAGCUGCGGCAGCGAACGUAUCACUUAAAGCGAUUCAGCGGGUUACGAUUGACGGAGCGAAGCGACGUCAAAGCGUAUACAAAGUCGAGUCGGUUUAAGGAUACGUUCGUUGGGUAGGGGAGCGUUCUGUAAGCCUGCGAAGGUGGCCUGUGAGGGUUGCUGGAGGUAUCAGAAGUGCGAAUGCUGACAUAAGUAACGAUAAAGCGGGUGAAAAGCCCGCUCGCCGGAAGACCAAGGGUUCCUGUCCAACGUUAAUCGGGGCAGGGUGAGUCGACCCCUAAGGCGAGGCCGAAAGGCGUAGUCGAUGGGAAACGGGUUAAUAUUCCCGUACUUGGUGUUACUGCGAAGGGGGGACGGAGAAGGCUAUGUUGGCCGGGCGACGGUUGUCCCGGUUUAAGCGUGUAGGUGUGUGUUCCAGGUAAAUCCGGUUCACUUUAACACUGAGGCGUGACGACGAGGCACUACGGUGCUGAAGCAACAAAUGCCCUGCUUCCAGGAAAAGCCUCUAAGCAUCAGGUAACAUCAAAUCGUACCCCAAACCGACACAGGUGGUCAGGUAGAGAAUACCAAGGCGCUUGAGAGAACUCGGGUGAAGGAACUAGGCAAAAUGGUGCCGUAACUUCGGGAGAAGGCACGCUGACACGUAGGUGAAGUGAUUUACUCAUGGAGCUGAAGUCAGUCGAAGAUACCAGCUGGCUGCAACUGUUUAUUAAAAACACAGCACUGUGCAAACACGAAAGUGGACGUAUACGGUGUGACGCCUGCCCGGUGCCGGAAGGUUAAUUGAUGGGGUCAGCGCAAGCGAAGCUCCUGAUCGAAGCCCCGGUAAACGGCGGCCGUAACUAUAACGGUCCUAAGGUAGCGAAAUUCCUUGUCGGGUAAGUUCCGACCUGCACGAAUGGCGUAAUGAUGGCCAGGCUGUCUCCACCCGAGACUCAGUGAAAUUGAACUCGCUGUGAAGAUGCAGUGUACCCGCGGCAAGACGGAAAGACCCCGUGAACCUUUACUAUAGCUUGACACUGAACAUUGAGCCUUGAUGUGUAGGAUAGGUGGGAGGCUUUGAAGUGUGGACGCCAGUCUGCAUGGAGCCGACCUUGAAAUACCACCCUUUAAUGUUUGAUGUUCUAACGUGGACCCGUAAUCCGGGUUGCGGACAGUGUCUGGUGGGUAGUUUGACUGGGGCGGUCUCCUCCUAAAGAGUAACGGAGGAGCACGAAGGUUGGCUAAUCCUGGUCGGACAUCAGGAGGUUAGUGCAAUGGCAUAAGCCAGCUUGACUGCGAGCGUGACGGCGCGAGCAGGUGCGAAAGCAGGUCAUAGUGAUCCGGUGGUUCUGAAUGGAAGGGCCAUCGCUCAACGGAUAAAAGGUACUCCGGGGAUAACAGGCUGAUACCGCCCAAGAGUUCAUAUCGACGGCGGUGUUUGGCACCUCGAUGUCGGCUCAUCACAUCCUGGGGCUGAAGUAGGUCCCAAGGGUAUGGCUGUUCGCCAUUUAAAGUGGUACGCGAGCUGGGUUUAGAACGUCGUGAGACAGUUCGGUCCCUAUCUGCCGUGGGCGCUGGAGAACUGAGGGGGGCUGCUCCUAGUACGAGAGGACCGGAGUGGACGCAUCACUGGUGUUCGGGUUGUCAUGCCAAUGGCACUGCCCGGUAGCUAAAUGCGGAAGAGAUAAGUGCUGAAAGCAUCUAAGCACGAAACUUGCCCCGAGAUGAGUUCU